rnacentral:tRNA from 1 species
GGAGAGAUGGGUGAGUGGCUUAAACCAGCGGUUUGCUAAACCGCCGUAGGGACUAAAAGCUCUACCGAGGGUUCGAAUCCCUCUCUCUCCGCCA